UUUAUUGCUGUCUUUCUUUUGUUAAGGCAGAGACCUAUAUACUAGGGAUUCGCAACAAGCUCAUUGGCUUACCAAACGUCACCGCCGAGCGGAAGUUCGGGUCAUUUAUCCCAGAGUCCAUUGCUGCUCCUAAUGUUUAGACGCCAUAUUGAAAGUACGCCUGAAACACAGUCAGCUUUAUCACAGCUCAUAGAAGACUAUUGUCCGAUAACAAAUCACGGGAAUCAAACAAUGCCAAAGAAGAAAAGAUCUACCAUUGGUACAUGACCCAAGUACUAUCAAAGUUUUCAAUACUAAAUAAUAAAAUAUUAUCAAUCAUCAAACA